UGCAAAUGAUGUUGACUUUUUGCUGUCUGAACACACUUGAUGACAACAGCCACCAAGAUCGCUGAUGCA
rfam:Picoides pubescens contig23448, whole genome shotgun sequence.